CCUACGGGGAGGCAGCAGUGGGGAAUUUUGGACAAUGGGCGCAAGCCUGAUCCAGCAAUGCCGCGUGCAGGAUGAAGGCCUUCGGGUUGUAAACUGCUUUUGUACGGAACGAAAAGGUCUGCCCUAAUACGGCGGGCCCAUGACGGUACCGUAAGAAUAAGCACCGGCUAACUACGUGCCAGCAGCCGCGGGUAAU
rnacentral:rRNA from 1 species